rnacentral:sRNA from 2 species
GGGAAGUGUACCUAGGGUUCCGCCCCGCUUUGGCGGGGGACUGGACCAAGCGGUACAGGCCGCCGGUGAAAAUUUCACGGCGGUUACACCGUGGGGAUAAAAGACCCGAGCGGA